UGCGGCGACGCCGGCGGUUCGCCGCCGGUGUUGUUGUGAGAAGUUCAUUAAACCUUAUCAUUUAGAGGAAGGAGAAGUCGUAACAAGGUUUCCGUAGGUGAACCUGCGGAAGGAUCAUUG
rnacentral:rRNA from 1 species